rnacentral:rRNA from 1 species
AUUGAACGCUGGCGGCAGGCCUAACACAUGCAAGUCGAGCGGAUGAAGGGAGCUUGCUCCUGGAUUCAGCGGCGGACGGGUGGGUAAUGCCUAGGAAUCUGCCUGGUAGUGGGGGAUAACGUCCGGAAACGGGCGCUAAUACCGCAUACGUCCUGAGGGAGAAAGUGGGGGAUCUUCGGACCUCACGCUAUCAGAUGAGCCUAGGUCGGAUUAGCUAGUUGGUGGGGUAAAGGCCUACCAAGGCGACGAUCCGUAACUGGUCUGAGAGGAUGAUCAGUCACACUGGAACUGAGACACGGUCCAGACUCCUACGGGAGGCAGCAGUGGGGAAUAUUGGACAAUGGGCGAAAGCCUGAUCCAGCUAUGCCGCGUGUGUGAAGAAGGUCUUCGGAUUGUAAAGCACUUUAAGUUGGGAGGAAGGGCAGUAAGUUAAUACCUUGCUGUUUUGACGUUACCAACAGAAUAAGCACCGGCUAACUUCGUG